rnacentral:rRNA from 1 species
CUACGGGCUGCUCCAGUGAGGAAUAUUGCACAAUGGGGGGAACCCUGAUGCAGCAACGCCGCGUGGAGGAUGACGCAUUUCGGUGUGUAAACUCCUUUUAUAUGUCAAGAAAAUGACGGUAGCAUAUGAAUAAGCACCGGCUAACUCCGUGCCAGCAGCCGCGGUAAUACGGAGGGUGCAAGCGUUACUCGGAAUCACUGGGCGUAAAGGACGCGUAGGCGGGUUGGAAAGUCAGGUGUGAAAUCCUACAGCUUAACUGUAGAACUGCACUUGAAACUUCUAAUGUAGAGUAUGGGAGGGGGAGAUGGAAUUAGUGGUGUAGGGGUAGGAUGCGUAGAUAUCACUAGGAAUACCUAAAGCGGAGGCGAUCUCCUGGAACAUACUGACGCUAAGGCGUGCAAGCGUGGAGGGCAAACAGAAUUAGAUACCCGUGUAGUC